rnacentral:rRNA from 1 species
AGAGUUUGAUCCUGGCUCAGGAUGAACGCUAGCGGCAAGCUUAACACAUGCAAGUCGAGGGGUAACAGGAGAGCUUGCUCUCGCUGACGACCGGCGCACGGGUGCGUAACGCGUAUGCAACUUACCUCAAACAGGGAGAUAGCCCGGGGAAACCCGGAUUAAUAUCCCAUAAUAUAUUGGGAGGCAUUUUCCGAUAUUAAAAGCUCCGGCGGUUUGAGAUGGGCAUGCGUGACAUUAGCUAGUUGGUAAGGUCACGGCUUACCAAGGCAACGAUGUCUAGGGGUUCUGAGAGGAUUAUCCCCCACACUGGUACUGAGACACGGACCAGACUCCUACGGGAGGCAGCAGUGAGGAAUAUUGGUCAAUGGGCGCAAGCCUGGACCAGCCAUGCCGCGUGCAGGAAGACUGCCCUAUGGGUUGUAAACUGCUUUUCUGAAGGAGGAAACGCCAUUCGCGUAAUGGACUUGACAGUACUUCAGGAAUAAGCAUCGGCUAACUCCGUGCCAGCAGCCGCGGUAAUACGGAGGAUGCAAGCGUUAUCCGGAUUUAUUGGGUUUAAAGGGUGCGUAGGCUGACAUAUAAGUCAGCGGUGAAAUCCCCUUGCUUAACAAGGGAACUGCCGUUGAUACUGUAUGUCUUGAGUAUGUUUGAAGUUGGCGGAAUGCGACAAGUAGCGGUGAAAUGCAUAGAUAUGUCGCAGAACACCGAUAGCGAAGGCAGCUGACUAAGGCAUAACUGACGCUGAUGCACGAAAGCGUGGGUAGCGAACAGGAUUAGAUACCCUGGUAGUCCACGCCGUAAACGAUGAUAGCUGGAUGUUUGUCCGUUUCAGGGCAAGCGUCUGAGGGAAACCAUUAAGCUAUCCACCUGGGGAGUACGCUCGCAAGAGUGAAACUCAAAGGAAUUGACGGGGGCCCGCACAAGCGGUGGAACAUGUGGUUUAAUUCGAUGAUACGCGAGGAACCUUACCUGGGCUUAAAUGGAAGUUGCAUAGAUCAGAGAUGGUCUUUUCCUUUACGGGACUACUUUCAAGGUGCUGCAUGGCUGUCGUCAGCUCGUGCCGUGAGGUGUCGGGUUAAGUCCCAUAACGAGCGCAACCCCUGCCGCCAGUUGCCAUCAGAUAAUGCUGGGGACUCUGGCGGGACUGCCGCCGCAAGGCGCGAGGAAGGCGGGGAUGACGUCAAGUCAGCACGGCCCUUACGUCCAGGGCUACACACGUGUUACAAUGGCCAUUACAGAGGGCAGCUAACCAGCAAUGGGGUGCAAAUCCUUAAAAAUGGUCUCAGUUCGGAUAGGAGUCUGCAACCCGACUCCUUGAAGGUGGAAUCGCUAGUAAUCGCGCAUCAGCCAUGGCGCGGUGAAUACGUUCCCGGGCCUUGUACACACCGCCCGUCAAGCCAUGGAAGCCGGGGGUACCUGAAGACUGUAACCGCAAGGAACGGUUUAGGGUAAAACUGGUGACUGGGGCUAAGUCGAAACAAGGUA